GAUGAACGCUAGCUACAGGCUUAACACAUGCAAGUCGAGGGACCGGCGCACGGGUGAGUAACACGUAUCCAACCUGCCCUUUACUCGGGGAUAGCCUUUCGAAAGAAAGAAUAAUACCCGAUAUAAAGGAUGGGGAUGCGAUCAAUUAGGUUGUUGGUGAGGUACCGGCUCACCAAGCCUUCGAUGGAUAGGGGGUCUGAGAGGAAGUUCCCCCGGAUUGGAACGGCGCAACGGUCCAAACUCCUACGUGAGGGAGCGGUGAGGUAUAUUGGGGAAGGGACGCUAGUCUGAACCAGCCAAGUAGCGUGAGGGAUGAAGGCUUAUGGGUCGUAAACUUCUUUUAUAUAAGAAUAUGUAUUAUAUGAAUAAGGAUCGGCUAACUCCGUGCCAGCAGCCGCGGUAAUAC
rnacentral:rRNA from 1 species